rnacentral:lncRNA from 1 species
CAAAAUAGCAUUACUUGAAGUGCCUUUCCCCCUGUAAUCCGACUCCAUCGUCUUUAACGUGUUUGGAAUUGUGUACACAGUUUAUUGUUAUUGGUUUCCUUAGCCUUUUUAGAACCAAGCAACGCCAAUUACCAACAAAAUCCGUUGCGCCGCAGUGAGUUAGCUACCUUCUAUCUCCACUUUGUUCUGCACGUCGAUCUCAGGAGAAGCCAGCUCCCAUGUUAAGAAGUUCAAAUACCUAGAGACUGCGAUGGUUUGCAGAGGCUCAAGCUAACCACAUGGAAAGACAUGGAGAGAUAUUCCUUGCCAACCCUCAACUACUCCAACUAUUCUAAGACAUCAAACCUGUCACCCACCGGUCUGAAGAGGAGGAUGAGAGACAAAGAAAAAAGUUGUCUGGCUGCCUCUGCUGUCUACAGAUUGAAGAAGAUCCAUCCAGCUGAGCCCAGCCUAGACCAGCUGACUUCUCCAAUAAGCCUGUAUGAAAUAAAUGCUUAUUGUUAUGUG